rnacentral:rRNA from 1 species
GAUGAACGCUGGCGGCGUGCCUAAUACAUGCAAGUCGAGCGAACGGACGAGAAGCUUGCUUCUCUGAUGUUAGCGGCGGACGGGUGAGUAACACGUGGAUAACCUACCUAUAAGACUGGGAUAACUUCGGGAAACCGGAGCUAAUACCGGAUGAUAUUUUGAACCGCAUGGUUCAAAAGUGAAAGACGGUCUUGCUGUCACUUAAAGAUGGAUCCGCGCUGCAUUAGCUAGUUGGUAAGGUAACGGCUUACCAAGGCAACGAUGCAUAGCCGACCUGAGAGGGUGAUCGGCCACACUGGAACUGAGACACGGACCAGACUCCUACGGGAGGCAGCAGUAGGGAAUCUUCCGCAAUGGGCGAAAGCCUGACGGAGCAACGCCGCGUGAGUGAUGAAGGUCUUCGGAUCGUAAAACUCUGUUAUUAGGGAAGAACAUAUGUGUAAGUAACUGUGCACAUCUUGACGGUACCUAAUCAGAAAGCCACGGCUAACUACGUG